AGGGCAUAGCUAUUGGGCUAGUGUGAUGUUCUGCUAUAACUAGCCUAAACUUAUACUAAUUAUUCCCUAUGAGGGAAACCAUAGAGUCCAUGUUUCUUUGGGUCUGGCUCACUUCACUUAGUAUAAUUUUUUCCAAGUCCUUCCAUUUCCUUACAAAUGGGGCAA